GGAAAAGGUUGGCUGGAAUGAUUUCUCUGUUUGACCACGUGCGGCAAACAAUUCCUCUAGGCUUUUUUUUCAGCGCUGAAGAAAUUAAUGAAUAUGCGCUCAUGCACCAGCCAUGGUCGGGUCAGCGUUGCCCGCCACCGCCGCGGGAGCCAAUGAUCAAUCGGAAGCCGUGAUAACUGCGACAGAAAAAAGUCGUAAUAAAAAUAUGACUUCCGGUAUCGAAAGGGGAAACGAGGGAAAGUCCCUCACCGAUUUGGGGCUAUUUUAUAAUUUCCGUUUGAAUUCCGCGCUCUACAGCCCUACAGCCACGUAUGAGGAAUUGUUUGCUUUGACAAUGAUGGAUGAUGAUUUUUGUGGUAGCGGUGACGGUGGUGGUAUGGGUUUGGUGUAUCGAUGAUGAAACGGGUGAUCACGGUCAGGUUGACGGGCCUUACAUGAAUCAGGACGUGGCUUCUCCUCAGCAACCAUCAGGGCUGCGCUCUCGGCCGGUGGGUUGUGUCCUUCUAACGCAUUCACACUGUUUAGCAUGCUCCUGCAAAACACCACGCCACUUGUCCAAAUUUCCGCCAUUUACCUUUUUUUCUAAUUUUACAGAAUAAAAUGAUGAA